rnacentral:ncRNA from 1 species
GCACAUCGUUGGAAUCCUUCGGGAGGAAGAAGGUGUGGCUUAGCGGCGGACGGGUGAGUAACGCGUGGACAACCUGCCCUAUGCAGGGGGAUAACAUCCGGAAACGGGUGCUAAUACCGCAUAAGCGCACAGUACCGCAUGGUACGGUGUGAAAAGCUGAGGCGGCAUAGGAUGGGUCCGCGUUGGAUUAGGCAGUUGGCGGGGUAACGGCCCACCAAACCGACGAUCCAUAGCCGGCCUGAGAGGGUGGACGGCCACAUUGGGACUGAGACACGGCCCAGACUCCUACGGGGGGCAGC